GACGAACGCUGGCGGCGUGCCUAAUACAUGCAAGUAGAACGCACAGUUUAUACCGUAGCUUGCUACACCAUAGACUGUGAGUUGCGAACGGGUGAGUAACGCGUAGGUAACCUGCCUGGUAGCGGGGGAUAACUAUUGGAAACGAUAGCUAAUACCGCAUAAUAUUAAUUAUUGCAUGAUAAUUAAUUGAAAGGUGCAAUUGCACCACUACCAGAUGGACCUGCGUUGUAUUAGCUAGUAGGUGAGGUAACGGCUCACCUAGGCGACGAUACAUAGCCGACCUGAGAGGGUGAUCGGCCACACAGGGACUGAGACACGGCCCAGACUCCUACGGGAGGCAGCAGUAGGGAAUCUUCGGCAAUGGACGAAAGUCUGACCGAGCAACGCCGCGUGAGUGAAGAAGGUUUUCGGAUCGUAAAGCUCUGUUGUAAGAGAAGAACGGGUGUGAGAGUGGAAAGUUCACACUGUGACGGUAUCUUACCAGAAAGGGACGGCUAACUACGUG
rnacentral:rRNA from 1 species